rnacentral:rRNA from 1 species
AACGCAUCUUGCGCUUGCUGGUAUUCCGGCAAGCAUGCCUGUUUGAGUGUCAUGAACUCCUCAACCCUUAAAUUCCUAGUUGAAUUGAAAGGUGUUUGGAUCUUGAGUGUUUGCUGGCUAUGGAAGCUUCGGCUUCCUAAUGUCUUAGCUCACUCGUAAUGCAUUAGCAUCUCAAUUUCGAACCAUUCGGAUUGACUCGGCGUAAUAGACUUUUAUUCGCUGAGGACACCUGACAAGGUGGCCGAAUUUCGAGGUAGAAGCUUCUAAUCGAAACUUGAAGUCUACAUCUUAGAUCAGACCUCAGAUCAGGCAGGACUACCCGCUGAACUUAA